rnacentral:rRNA from 1 species
CGCCAACACUGGGAYUGAGAACUGCCCAGACUCCUACGGGAGGCUGCAGUCGAGAAUCAUUCGCAAUGGGCGAAAGCCUGACGAUGCGACGCCGUGUGAGCGAUGAAGGCCUUUGGGUCGUAAAGCUCUUUCGCUUGGGAACAAGAGAUGAUGACUAAUACUCAUCAAAUUUGAGGGUACCAGGUAAAGAAGCACCGGCUAACUCC